GACGAACGCUGGCGGCGUGCCUAACACAUGCAAGUUGAGCGACGAACCAGGGCUUGCCCUGGGGCAAAGCAGCGAACGGGUGAGUAACACGUGGGUAACCUACCCCGAUAACCGGGACAACCCGAGGAAACUCGGGCUAAUACCGGAUGUGCUCACUGAACUUCGGUUCAGUGCGUAAAGGAAGCUUCGGCCUCCGUCUCGGGAGGGGCCCGCGGGCCAUUAGCUAGUUGGUGAGGUAACGGCUCACCAAGGCCGCGAUGGGUAGCUGGUCUGAGAGGACGAUCAGCCACACUGGGACUGAGACACGGCCCAGACUCCUACGGGAGGCAGCAGUGGGGAAUCUUGCGCAAUGCGCGAAAGCGUGACGCAGCAACGCCGCGUGGGGGAAGAAGGCCUUCGGGUUGUAAACCCCUUUCAGGAGGGACGAAGGUUCGGCGGUGAAUAGCCGUCCGGACUGACGGUACCUCCACAAGAAGCCCCGGCUAACUACGUGCCAGCCGCCGCCGUAA
rnacentral:rRNA from 1 species